rnacentral:rRNA from 1 species
GAUCCUGCUCAGAUUGAACGCUGGUGGCAGGCCUAACACAUGCAAGUCGAGCGGCAUCGAGUGAGCACAGUUUACUGAGUUCAUGUCGGCGAGCGGCGGACGGGUGAGUAAAGUCUGGGAAUCUGGCCGACGGAGGGGGAUAACUGCUGGAAACGGCAGCUAAUACCGCAUGAAGUCGUGAGACCAAAGUGGGGGACCUUCGGGCCUCACGCCGUCGGAUGAGCCCAG